rnacentral:rRNA from 1 species
AGAGACAGCAGCCGCCGCGGUAAUACAGAGGGUGCGAGCGUUAAUCGGAUUUACUGGGCGUAAAGCGUGUGUAGGUUGUUGUUCAAGUCAGUUGUGAAAUCCCUGGGCUCAACCUGGGAACUGCUUCUGAGACUGAACGACUAGAGUACGGUAGAGGGUGGUGGAAUUUCCGGUGUAGCGGUGAAUGCGUAGAUAUCGGAAGGAACAUCAAUGGCGAAGGCAGCCACCUGGGCCUGUACUGACACUGAGACACGAAAGCGUGGGGAUCAAACAGGAUUAGAUACCCCCGUAGUCCCUGUCUCUUAUACA